rnacentral:rRNA from 1 species
GAUGAACGCUAGCUACAGGCUUAACACAUGCAAGUCGAGGGGCAUCAGGAAGAAAGCUUGCUUUCUUUGCUGGCGACCGGCGCACGGGUGAGUAACACGUAUCCAACCUGCCCUUUACUCGGGGAUAGCCUUUCGAAAGAAAGAUUAAUACCCGAUAGCAUAAUGAUUCCGCAUGGUUUCAUUAUUAAAGGAUUCCGGUAAAGGAUGGGGAUGCGUUCCAUUAGGUUGUUGGUGAGGUAACGGCCCACCAAGCCUUCGAUGGAUAGGGGUUCUGAGAGGAAGGUCCCCCACAUUGGAACUGAGACACGGUCCAAACUCCUACGGGAGGCAGCAGUGAGGAAUAUUGGUCAAUGGGCGCUAGCCUGAACCAGCCAAGUAGCGUGAAGGAUGAAGGCUCUAUGGGUCGUAAACUUCUUUUAUAUAAGAAUAAAGUGCAGUAUGUAUACUGUUUUGUAUGUAUUAUAUGAAUAAGGAUCGGCUAACUCCGUGCCAGCAGCCGCGGUAAUACGGAGGAUCCGAGCGUUAUCCGGAUUUAUUGGGUUUAAAGGGAGCGUAGGUGGACUGGUAAGUCAGUUGUGAAAGUUUGCGGCUCAACCGUAAAAUUGCAGUUGAUACUGUCAGUCUUGAGUACAGUAGAGGUGGGCGGAAUUCGUGGUGUAGCGGUGUAAUGCUUAGAUAUCACGAAGAACUCCGAUUGCGAAGGCAGCUCACUGGACUGCAACUGACACUGAUGCUCGAAAGUGUGGGUAUCAAACAGGAUUAGAUACCCUGGUAGUCCACACAGUAAACGAUGAAUACUCGCUGUUUGCGAUAUACAGUAAGCGGCCAAGCGAAAGCAUUAAGUAUUCCACCUGGGGAGUACGCCGGCAACGGUGAAACUCAAAGGAAUUGACGGGGGCCCGCACAAGCGGAGGAACAUGUGGUUUAAUUCGAUGAUACGCGAGGAACCUUACCCGGGCUUAAAUUGCAGUGGAAUGAUGUGGAAACAUGUCAGUGAGCAAUCACCGCUGUGAAGGUGCUGCAUGGUUGUCGUCAGCUCGUGCCGUGAGGUGUCGGCUUAAGUGCCAUAACGAGCGCAACCCUUAUCUUUAGUUACUAACAGGUUAUGCUGAGGACUCUAGAGAGACUGCCGUCGUAAGAUGUGAGGAAGGUGGGGAUGACGUCAAAUCAGCACGGCCCUUACGUCCGGGGCUACACACGUGUUACAAUGGGGGGUACAGAAGGCAGCUAGCGGGUGACCGUAUGCUAAUCCCAAAAUCCUCUCUCAGUUCGGAUCGAAGUCUGCAACCCGACUUCGUGAAGCUGGAUUCGCUAGUAAUCGCGCAUCAGCCACGGCGCGGUGAAUACGUUCCCGGGCCUUGUACACACCGCCCGUCAAGCCAUGGGAGCCGGGGGUACCUGAAGUACGUAACCGCAAGGAUCGUCCUAGGGUAAAACUGGUGACUGGGGCU